rnacentral:rRNA from 1 species
AUGGCCAUGCACAUCUCGCCUCUGCCCUCCUCCUGUGCGUGCGUGCAGCCGUGCUGGCUCGCCUCCGCUCCUUCGCCGCCGGCCUCAUCCUCCUCCGCGCCCGCGCAUGACCUCCCACCUGGUCCACUCUGCUUGGCCGCCUGCUCCGCGCCCACGGCCCGCGGCUCCGCCCGCAUCGCUCCUCCCGCGCAGUCCCGGCCUCGGCCUCGUACGGGCUGCCUCGCGCCGUGCCAGCUUCCCCUGCACCAGCGGCGCCCUGCUCUACCUCUGCCCGCCGCUCGUGUCCGCCUUGCGCGCUCCCGUGCCCGCUCUAGCCGGCAACGAGCACCAGCCGGGUCGCUUCUGCCCAUGGUCGGCGCCGGCUCCGCCCCACCUGGCCUGUUCGCACGCCACCAGGGACGGAUCCCCUCGCAGCGCUCCCCGAGCGCGUCGUCCCGACUCGCCGCGGCACUUCACCAACCGCGCCGCAUCACUCACGCUCCCCUCUUCGUCGUGCCGGGUCCGCCUCGCGCCGCCGCCUCCAACCGGCUGCGGCUCCGGGACGGCAUCCUGCAAGUCGGCUCCGCCCCGCGCGCCUCGCGCCUCUGUGUCCAGUCGGCCUCCGCUCCACUCGGCUUCCCUGCGUCCGCUUCCCGGACAUCCCCGCGCCGGCUUCCGCGCGCCCUGGCCGGCUCCCGGCACCCGGCUGCGGCUCGUCCCGCCGCCCGGCGUCCGGCCUCCCCGACACUGAACCUUCAUGAGCUAGAGCAUUAUGCCCGACCUGGUUUCCCACAUCGACAUGGGAAGAUUCUAGAGCUACUGCAACAACAUAAUAGCCAUAAGCUGACUAAAUGUAUGAAGAUGAACCCCUCUGUAAGGUUAGGGCAUAAGACAAAGUUGGUGAGGUUAGGGCAUCCUGCCGGUUUACUACCGCAAGUGUUGGAAAGUGCUCUUGAUGCACAGGUACUGCGAGCAGAUAAUAGCAGCUUGGUCGAAGACAUUCACAAGGAAAUGAAGGGGCCAAGGUGCGUGCUUGCUGGAGACCAUCUCCAAAGUGUUGAGGCUGAGAAAAAGGGAAGAACUGAUGUGGCGUUCAAAGGGCAACGAAGGAUGUGGCGUUCGAAGGGAUCCGCAACAAAGGCGAAGGCGGACCUCGACAGCGGUGUAUCGAUGGCGACCCGGAGGCCCGCAUCGAUGGCGGCGGCGCCUCGACCUCGGCGCCGGCAAAGGGAUCCGCGGCUAGCGCCUGCGCCUAAGGGACGCGACAGGCGCAACCAGGAAAUACUUCCCGCCAGCACCCCCGGAUUCCCGCCCGCCGUUCUCAACCUAGACCAGAUGCGCCGCCUAAUAAACACCAAUUCCCACCAGUCCCCGCUGCCCCCGUUCGUCGCCACCGAGUCCGGCGUCGGCGUCCGCCUCGACGUCGGCGGCCUCCUCCCCCGUGUGGUGUCCAAGCGCGGCGCCGACAUCGUCGACGGCCGCGGCGGCCUACUCGUCCUGCGCGAGCGCAGCAAAAAGUUCUGGGAGCUCAAUCUCGUCCUCUGCAGCCCGCUGGAGAGGUCAUACCGGCGGUUGCCGCCGGUGAAUAUCAGUCGGUACGACAUGGCCUGCGCCGCUUUCGUUCCUCUCCAGGGCGUCGGUUUCCGCGUCGCUGUCGUGCUCUUCGGCGGCGCUGACGACUUGUCCCGCUACGCUGUUCUGGUCUACGACUCCGCUAGCGCUCCCCCAGCCUGGAAGGUGACCACCGGCUCCCGGCAGCGCGGGGAACGGCAUUACAAUGCCCACGAGGGCCCGUCCGUCGUUGUCGGCGACGUCGUGUACAGUCUUCAAGACGAGCACAUCAUGGUGGUGGACACUACCAAGAUGACAAUGUCCGUGUUGCCGGAGCCGGUGGCCCGUCCCGACUGGCUGAUUGAGGGCGACCACUGGAUCGGCAAGACCGAGGACGGCCGUCUGUGCUUCUUCGUGUUCCACGACUACAAGCCGCUUCUUGUGGCGAGGUGGGCUCUUGGAGCGGAUAGCAAGUGGACUCCGCAGCAGCCGUUGUGGCUGCCCCCGGAGCUCCACGGCGAGAAGCUCACGACGGAAAUCUCCUCUUCCUCCAAGCGUGUGAGAUUCGCUGGGUUCUGCGAGGGCAGCAGGAUGCUCUUCUUCGUCAUGGACGAUUGGGUGGUUCCUUUCGACAUCGAGACGUUGGAGAUGGAAAGGCUGUGGUGCUGCGAUACCGACGAGCCGCGGCGGCUUGGAGGGCUUAGCAAGGUGUACCCGUACGAGAUGCUGCCGUGGCCUCCGAUGCUCAAAGAUUUCGCCCAUUAA